rnacentral:rRNA from 1 species
UACGUAGGGGGCAAGCGUUGUCCGGAAUCGUUGGGCGUAAAGCGCGUGUAGGCGGCUCGGUAAGUCUGCUGUGAAAGUCCAGGGCUCAACCCCGGGAUGCCGGUGGAUACUGUCGAGCUCGAGUCCGGAAGAGGCGAGUGGAAUUCCUGGUGUAGCGGUGAAAUGCGCAGAUAUCGGGAGGAACACCUAUGGCGAAGGCAGCUCGCUGGGACGUUACUGACGCUGAGACGCGAAAGCGUGGGGAGCAAACAGG